AAGAUAAGUCUUAAACACAUCAGACCGUUUUGAUCAUUAAAAGAAUCGAUGAAGUUGCAUAUAAGUUUAUGAUGCCUUCAAAAUUGUCUAAGGUGCAUAAUGCAUUAUAUUUCGAUGCGUUGUCACUAGGUGGCAGACUCGUCACAUGGGAUUCUGGUGCAACUAUUGAGAAUUAAAUUGGAUUCGACUUGAUAAGGAACCAAGGACGACUUUGGAUUGGAAAAAGAAGGUCCUGAGAAUUGAGACAGAGUAAGUGGUAAAAGCUUGUUGAAGGAAAUCAUUCAGUAGAAAAUUAUGUUGGAGAAAGAGAAUCGGAUGAGAGAGAUUUACCCGAGGAAAUUGUAUGAGUAUAGAUGAUUUAGUUGGUUGCUGGAAUUUCGGGGACGAAAUUCUAUAAGGAGGGGAGAUUGUCACAGCCCGUCCCGGAAUUUUUAAUUCCAAGGACGUGAAAUUACGAAAAUGCCCCUAAUACGUGACUAAGGUAUAAAUUUUUACGUUCGUUAUAUCUAAGUUCCUAAAAUUUGGUAAGUAGAGUGGAGACUUAGAUUUAAAUUUAUGUUAGAAUUUUGUAGUUGGGGAUUGGGUAGGAUCCCACACCCCUUAAUUCUUUCCCUCUUUCCCGUACCCUGUCUCUCUCUCUUCCCUCACGACUCUCUCUCACUCUCAGUUCUCUCUCUCUUCCUCUCCGACGCUCAACCUCACCCAAAACCACCUAAAACAUAAACAAACGUCCAAGGUAAGACCACAUUUGGACUCCUGGAACUUCCACGAUCACGUAGACAUCAAUUUCAGGGAAAUCUAAGCUCACAGGGAGCUCUAGGAGGUUCCCACGAAGCUCGGAGUGCUUCGUUGGAAGUUUUUGGACGAAAGAACACGGAGAUCGACGAGUUCAAAGUUUGGCCGGAGCUUUCGAGGCAUUUUCCGGCGAAUCCCCGGCGAGUUAGGAGUCGAGUUUCCGGCGACCUCCGAGGCUUUCGAGGCAGUUUCCGGCCAAACCACGGCGAACUAGGUGUUGUGCAAGG